rnacentral:pre_miRNA from 2 species
GAUCCCUGUCCUCAAGGAGCCUCAGUCUAGUAGGGAGGAGACAUACUAGACUGUGAGCUCCUCGAGGGCAGGAAAG